ACUACAGUGAGCUCAGUGAUGGCGGUCAAACGGUUUUUUUCGGGAUAUUGAUUCAUUUCAAAUCCAAAUAAUACCCAUUAAGUAAUGCUUCAUAUCAAUUUGGGAUUUAUCUCUCAGAAAUCGGAAGCUGGAGCCGGUCCAAACCUCCCCACCGAUUGAGACUCCGGAGAACGGAAAAACGAAAUGAAGUACCCAACCCAAAACCCCGGCCAUCGUCUAAGCUUCCAUGUUCGGCUGCUCCAAGCCUCCCACCAGGUUGGGACUUCCGAGCACAGAAACAAAAGAGGAAAGAUGGGGAAACAUGGGAAAAAUCAACGAAAACAAAGGAAAGAUGGAAAAAAUUUAAGGAAAUCUGUGGGAAAGGAGAGCACCUGAGAGAGAUUAGAAGGGUUUCUUAGGUUCUGAUUGGGUUUCUUUCUCGUAUAUGGGGCUUUGUGCGAGUUGUGGCGGUGUGAGUUGGUUCCUUGAGGUUUUUAGAGCUUAAUCUUGAUAGAAGCAUGAUAUUUCCACAACGCCAUCCUCUCCGAUGCCUCCAUCCAUGCCACGGACGGCCAUUCCAUGGUCAAGGGCAUCAGUGCUGCCUCCUUCGUCUACAUGUUCAUGAUCUUCUCUCUCCACCACCCACCGGCCGAUGUGCCUCCUAUCGAGCAGAGGGAUGGGGCGGGAAGAAGCGUCCUUUCGCUAUGCAGGAGACGCUACCCCAAAAAAUGAGUAAAGUUGGAAGGGUAGUUUUGGGAUGGGCGCCAGCAAAAUAGGAAGCCCGCCCUAUAUGAUAUUUGUUAGGGUUUCGGGGGUAUCACCGUUGCAACGAAUAUUUUCUCGUUUCGGGGAGGUUAUGGGGGGGAAGAGAAGGCAACGGUGUCGGCUCUGGAAGCGGCGGAGUGGCGGAUCGGCCGUGUGGAGACGAAAACUAAACUCCAAGCGUUUAAUCGCUGAAGAAGAAUCCCACUAUGAUGGUUUCCAUGUAGUUUUCAAUCUGAAUCCCAGAGAAUAAGAUCCGCCCAGAUCCGCUGCUCGAGCGGCGCCUACUUCUUCUUACCCCCUCGUGAUGGGAUCUGAAGGCCUCUUCUCUCGACGGCUAAGAGGCACGUCAUAUUUGCUCCACCGCAGGCGGUGCACAAAGAAUUUCUCUUUUUUUUUUUUGUUAGGGUUUUGGGGGGAGGUCAUGGGGGAAAGAGAAGGGAACGGUGUUGGCUCUGGAAGCGGCGGAUCGGCCGUGUGGAGACGAAAACUAAACUCCAAGCGUUUAAUCGCUGAAGAAGAAUCCCACCAUGAUGGUUUCCAUGUAGUUUUCAAUCUGAAUCCCAAAGAAUAAUAUCCGCUGCUCGAGCCGCGCCACCUUCUUCUUUCUCCCGAUUCAUCCCAAUCCCACCCUGCCUCGUGAUGGGAUCUGAAGGCCCCUUCUCUCCUACCAAAAUCAAUCCUUUUCGGUCGUCUGAGGAUUGCGUUGUAGGCAAACCAUGAAACCCGCCCCAUGUGAUAUUUUGUAGUGCCCGCCCCAUAUGAUUUUUGUUCGAGGUCAUGGGGGUAAGAGAAGGGAACGGUGUUGGCUCUGCAAGCGGCGGAUCCAAGCGUUUAAUCGCUGAACAAGAAUGACGCCAUGAUGGUUUCCAUGUAGUUUUCAAUCUGAAUCUGAAAGGAUAACAUCCGCUGCUCGAGCCGCGCCUCCUUCUUUCUUCCGAUCCAUCCCAAUCCCACCCAGCCUCGUGAUGGGAUCUGAAGGCCCCUUCUCUCCUACCAAAAUCAAUCCUUUCCUCUUUUGCUCACGUUUUUUGUUUUUGUUUUUUUUUAAAAUUUUUUUCUGAUUAUAUUCGGUUGUUUUCGAGUUUCGAAUUUGAGAGCGUUUAUCGAUUUUGCUAAGCUGAAACCCCUUUUUUUUUAUUUUUACAUAUACUUCUGAUGUUUUGAAAUCGGGAAUAUUUCCUGUUGUAUCAACCACCAUGAUUCGAAGCCCUAGCUUUUUCUUUCGAUUUUUUUAAUUACUAUUUUUUACUGUUGGAAUUGAGGAUUGUGCAUAUGACGGCUUUUGCCACCCAAUUUUUUUAGACCGAAUUAAGAACAUAUCAGAGAUGUUUGGUUGUUUCUGCCUACUAAUCUUUUUGGUUUGCUUUGUGAGGUUUGUCUAUUGCAGAUUGCUGUGAUUGUAUUUUAUAUUAUUAUUAUUUUUUUCCCUCAUCAGCGCGGAAUGACAGAGCUGGGUUCUACAAGUAGACUGUAUGUUUAGAAUGACAUUUUGAUUAAAAAUUGGAGUUACAAAUGUAUGUUUGGUCGUCUUUUUUCUUUUUUUUUUUAAUUUAAUUUUCAGAGCACAGAUGUUAGGUUAUGUUCUGAUUGGCAGAUGCAUCUUUCAGUUCAUGUAAACUGGGCUACAACCUACGGCUCAAUGGUUGCAUAUAUCUUAUGGGUUCUGCGUUGGAACCCUGAGAGUUGUUCGAACCGUUCAUUCUUCAACCAUUUUUAUGAAUUGAUCUGGGGGCAGAGGGUUUCUGAAGAUCUUUCAGAACCUCGUUUUGAAGAACAUGUUUGGUCCAACCCUAGAUUUUUUUUCAUCUGUUUGGUUUGUGAAAAACUUGGUGGUCAACUUUGAUUUAGUUUCCGGUCUUUCAGUUCUUAUUUCCACUGUGCAUCUAUUUAUUUUUUUAACUAUCUACUUUAUACUUGCAAGCAUAGAGUUCACUAGGCUUUGGCGUGUUUGAGUCAGCAGAAUUAAUUUUUGCUUUCUUCUUGUUGUAGCAUGUUAUGAUUUAUUUUUUUUAAUUUCCAUCUCAAGAUAGUAAAGUGGCUAUAUUUAUGCAUGCAUUAUCCAACUAACAAAGCAUCAAUUUAUGAAUCUGAAAUUGCAAAUAAUAUUUUGAUUUUGGAGUUGUUUUGAAUGGUGUCGUACUUAAAACUAAGCAAACGGUGUAGGUUGUAUAUAUUGUUAUCAUGAGAAAGAGUACUUCAUUAUUUUGCAAAAAGGGUUGGUUAGCUGGUUUUUAGUCCCUUUUAAUGGUACAACGGUCUAAUCUUAGUAUUGACUAUUUUUGAAAUUGUUUUGUUGUUUUGAUCGUUAAGCAUACAUGGAUAAUCAUUUUUAGAUUUUUGUAACAUUCAUGGAAGACAUGAUCUGAGAGCAGGUCUCAGAAUGAGGGGAUUUUCAGACAUUAAUGUGAGUUUUGAUGAGCUUUUAUGUGUAAGGUACUUUUCAGAAUUAAAUUGUAUUUGCUGUUAUAGUUGCAGUGUAAGAAUCUUUAUUUGCACAUCGUAGUUUGAGUCACCUCCUGUCACAGCCUGAUUCCAAUUUACAGUGGCAUGUCUACUUCAUUUUUUACUUUGAAGGGUUGUGAUUUGUAAAUUUGAUCUUUCCUUUUCAUAUCUUUUGAUAAUCUGGAUUUUUAAUGUCUUUAAAUUACCAAAUCAGUCCGCUUAGACCUGGAUAUCAAACGUAAAUUUGUCAUGUUAUUGGGGAAUGUUGCUUCAUUUUCAAUUGUUGUAAUUGAUUUCAAUGGUUCUGGUUUUUUAUACAUGACUUUACAUACCAAUUGGCUCCAACUCAUUGUAAGCUCUUUUUCUGUUUAAUACGGGAACAGAAAUGGUUAUAUUUAGGAGAGAAGUCCGUUUGACUCCAAGCGUUCUAAUGGCCGGUCUCUGUUUACUUGAUUGAAUUGCCCGAUUUUGAUCUUCUCGUCUCUAUGAAAGUGGACUGAGUGAAAUACAUUACUAAGCCUUUAUGCAUGUCUCUAAACUGGCUGUUUUACGGCUGGAGUUUCUGCAUUGCUACUGAUGGCUUUUUAUUUUUUUAAGCAAAAAAAAAAAGAGCAUUCUAUUCUAUUAGGAAAAGAAAAUUAAAAUUCUGUGGUAUUGCUAGUGUACUGUACCUGCAAAUUAUUAUCCAAGAUGUAAUCCAGAAUGCACAGUAUCAAAAUAAUGCUGAUAGUCUUAAAAGGCAAACGUGUUGGAUGGUGGUGCAAUUUAGAGACCGUGGAAUUACCGUUGAUGUCAUUGUACAUUGCUAUAUUGUUGUAUCUCCAUCCUAAUGUAGAAGUACAUUUGGUUGGGAGCUGGACUCCUACAGAUUAUGAUCCUCGUGCAUGUAAUGGGCUUCAAUGUUAUACAUCAAUGUGAUAUUGUUCAGUUUUAA